rnacentral:snoRNA from 1 species
UCAAGUGUAUGAUGAUAUAAUUUGCGGUCUAGGGCGGCUACCCUGGGGCACAGCCAUGCUCCGCAAUGGGGUUGCCGCGGCAUGCGAAAGCUUUUUGUUCUGACCAUUAU